UAAAUAAAAAGACUGGCUAGGAGCACUAUGCUUAUCUCCUCUAUGACCCAGGUCAGUGAAUUUGUUCCUGCUAUUAAUUAUUGUUUGAACUAGAGAGUCUUGAUUUAAACCUUUCUAGGAAUAGAGCAUCCCCAGCAGCUCUUCACACUGGACAGGAGAACAGGAACACAGAUGGGAACCAGGGUCUUAGGGACGGGUGCCAAGAACAAAACAGAAACCGGACCUCAGGAACUUCAGUGACAGGAGGACAUGUUAAAAUAGCCGACGUGAGGGAGUGACAGUCAAGCUGUCUGGCCCCGAGGAAUUCCUUCUGAGAGGCAGUGCUCCUUUCCUGCAGUACCAAGCAGCGUCUCUGAGCAGUGUGUACACAAAAUGCUAUAAAACCCCACUCGAGAGAAAAAUAAAGUUUAAUGAAACGGGGGGAAAGGAAGAGAUCCCAGUGGACUGGGAUGUAUUGAGAGCAAAAUACAUUGCACUGAUAUAGGUACCGUGCCAAGUACCAUUAGUCCCACCAGCCCAACUAGUAACUCAAAUGGUAACCAUACUGACAGUGAAGCAAUAUAGUAUGGGCCUAAUUCUCUACUAGCUUAACGCUAUUGAAAUCAGCAGUCACAAGCAGAUAACGUGGGCUGGCGUAUUUAGGGGAGAAUGGUAGGGGAAGCAGAACCAGGGAAGGUAA